rnacentral:rRNA from 1 species
UCCGUAGGUGAACCUGCGGAAGGAUCAUUACUAAG